rnacentral:rRNA from 1 species
UACAGAGGUCUCAAGCGUUGUUCGGAUUCAUUGGGCGUAAAGGGCGCGUAGGCGGACAGUUUAGUCAGAGGUGAAAGCCCAGGGCUCAACCUUAGAAUUGCCUUUGAUACUGGCUGUCUUGAGUUCGGGAGAGGUGAGUGGAAUGCCGAGUGUAGAGGUGAAAUUCGUAGAUAUUCGGCGGAACACCAGUGGCGAAGGCGACUCACUGGCCCGAUACUGACGCUGAGGCGCGAAAGCGUGGGGAGCAAACAGG